AAAUAUCACUUUAUAUUUCGUCACAACUUUGAAAACAACACAUAUCAGAAAUAGUCUGUUGUUUCAGAAUAAGGCAGUCUGACUCAACGCUAAAAAGCUAACGUUAAACGAACGUUAGGGCGGUUAAACGGACGUUAGCUCGGUUAACGUCAGUCAAGUAACUUUGACUCACCACGGAGUUCUUCAUGGUGGACCUCACGGUGAAACCUUCUGUUUUCAGCUCCGUCUUCUUCCUCAACAUAUCCACAGUGGUUGCUAAGCAACGUCAGAGACGCUUUGGUCCGGUUGCUACGGAGACGUGUGUUUCCUUGUUACUAUAGAAAUGUCACAGCGCUGCUGGAAAAAGGUGUCGUGCUCCCGGCCCACCACACUUCCAUCUUAGACACAGAGGAUCGAUCACAGCCUCGGCUCAUCAUUAUACUCAUGCAGCGGAUCCUCAUCCAGAAGUAAAUACUUAAUGAUGCUCUUUGUCUGGCAGGAAGACCAACGCCUUGACUUUCAAUAAGCUGGUUAGAGCGCGGCCUGAGCUCUGAAUCAUUCCAAUUUAAGGAUGUGGCACUUUUAAUCUUCCAAUAUCGUUUUUGCCUCUGGAGACUUUCUUGGGUGAACUGGUGCAACUGUUAUUAAUCUUCAGUGCACAGGCAAUUUCUCUAAAAGCCCCUAUUUGUUUUUUAUGGCUCCAUUGAGAGAGGAGGGUAUAGCAGCAGGGAAGGAGACUGUAAACAAGGUAUGCAGGGAAGGCAAGUUAUGUCCCUGUCAGCAAUGCUAGUCUCUCCCUCUUUCUCUCUCCCUCUCUCUGCUUCCCCUCGGAGGAUUAAAAAGAGGAAGAGGGGAGUUUUCAGAAAGCAAACUGAGCAAACUGGAGCGUCAGCAUGAAUUCAGCUGGACUGAGAAAUGAUUGUUCAAACAGCACUGCACUAUCUCACUCCUGCGAGUGUGUGGUGUGGAGGGAAGUUGGUCUUUGUGAAUUGUAGAAACCGACUUUGCAGGAGUGAUACAUAAAGUAUAAAAUAAAUCAUUAGUUUUGUCUGUCUCUUGAAUUCUGUAUGUUCAUGUGUGAACAUAUGAUCGAUAGUGUAUAUAUCAGGCUAUUGGUACCAGUCACCCCAUGGGUCAAGUUAAU